rnacentral:rRNA from 1 species
GUGGGGAAUCUUAGACAAUGGGCGCAAGCCUGAUCUAGCCAUGCCGCGUGAGCGAUGAAGGCCUUAGGGUUGUAAAGCUCUUUCGUGGGGGAAGAUAAUGACUGUACCCCAAGAAGAAGCCCCGGCUAACUUCGUGCCAGCAGCCGCGGUAAUACGAAGGGGGCUAGCGUUGCUCGGAAUCACUGGGCGUAAAGCGCACGUAGGCGGCUUUCUAAGUCAGGGGUGAAAUCCUGGAGCUCAACUCCAGAACUGCCUUUGAUAAUGGAGAGCUUGAGUUCGGGAGAGGUGAGUGGAACUGCGAGUGUAGAGGUGAAAUUCGUAGAUAUUCGCAAGGACACCAGUGGCGAAGGCGGCUCACUGGCCCGAUACUGACGCUGAGGUGCGAAAGCGUGGGGAGCAAACAGGAUUAGAAACCCCAGUAGUCC